rnacentral:rRNA from 1 species
AGCAGUCGCCGCGGGAAUACGUAGGUGGCAAGCGUUGUCCGGAAUUAUUGGGCGUAAAGCGCGCGCAGGUGGUUUAAUAAGUCUGAUGUGAAAGCCCACGGCUCAACCGUGGAGGGUCAUUGGAAACUGUUAAACUUGAGUGCAGGAGAGAAAAGUGGAAUUCCUAGUGUAGCGGUGAAAUGCGUAGAGAUUAGGAGGAACACCAGUGGCGAAGGCGGCUUUUUGGCCUGUAACUGACACUGAGGCGCGAAAGCGUGGGGAGCAAACAGGAUUAGAUACCCCCGUAGUCCCUGUCUCUUAUAC